CCCUUAGAUGUCCUGGGCCGCACGCGCGCUACACUGACAUGUUCAACAAGCCUCCUAGUUCGACAGGAUUUGGGAAAUCUUUGAACGCAUGUCGUGAUAGGGAUAGAUCAUUGCAAUUAUUGAUCUUGAACGAGGAAUUCCUAGUAAACGCGAGUCAUCAGCUCGCAUUGAUUACGUCCCUGCCCUUUGUACACACCGCCCGUCGCACCUACCGAUUGAAUGUUUCGGUGAAGAUUCCGGAUAGGACUUUUUUGAUUUAUUUCAAUUUUGUCUUAAAAGCUAUCUAAACCUCAACAUUUAGAGGAAGGUGAGGUCGUAACA
rnacentral:rRNA from 1 species